GAGGGCAUACCUCAGAGGUAGAGUGUGUGCUUAGCAUGCUCAAGGUCCUGGGUUCAAUCCCCAGUACCUCUA
rnacentral:tRNA from 1 species